UACGAAGGGGGCUAGCGUUGCUCGGAAUCACUGGGCGUAAAGCGCACGUAGGCGGAUUGUUAAGUAAGGGGUGAAAUCCUGGAGCUCAACUCCAGAACUGCCUUUGAUACUGGCGAUCUCGAGUCCGGGAGAGGUGAGUGGAACUGCGAGUGUAGAGGUGAAAUUCGUAGAUAUUCGCAAGAACACCAGUGGCGAAGGCGGCUCACUGGCCCGGUACUGACGCUGAGGUGCGAAAGCGUGGGGAGCAAACAGG
rnacentral:rRNA from 1 species